CCUACGGGCGGCAGCAGUGGGGAAUAUUGCGCAAUGGGCGCAAGCCUGACGCAGCGACGCCGCGUGAGGGAUGAAGGUCUUCGGAUCGUAAACCUCUGUUCGCAGGGACGAACGGUCACUGUGCUAAUCAGCAGUGAAUUAACGGUACCUGCAAGGGAAGCACCGGCUAACUCCGUGACAGCAGCCGCGGUAAUACGGAGGGUGCGAGCGUUAAUCGGAUUUACUGGGCGUAAAGGGCUCGUAGGCGGUAUGUCAAGUCAAGGGUGAAAUCCCCGCGCUCAACGUGGGAACUGCCUUUGAAACUGGCAAACUGGAGUGUGUGAGAGGAAAGUGGAAUUCCAGGUGUAGGAGUGAAAUCCGUAGAUAUCUGGAGGAACAUCAGUGGCGAAGGCGACUAUCUGGCACAUAACUGACGCUGAGGAGCGAAAGCGUGGGUAGCAAACAGGAUUAGAUACCCUUGUAGUC
rnacentral:rRNA from 1 species